UGAGGAUUUAAAUCAAGAUUUGCUGCCUGCUGAUUUCAAUCAUGAUUAAAAUUUAAAUGGUUUUGAUUUAAACCAAUCCACUCUGAUUGGGGAUCAGGAUUCUUGCUUAAGGUUGGGGGACCUGCACAGAGGAAGAUGUAUUCAUUUCAGAGAAUCAAAAAUAUUCCUGGAGAGAAGAGAGCGGUGGUGUCUUGCCCUUACCAUUCUGGGAGAGGUUGAUGUUCAGCUCGGCCUGCAGCAACCGAUCGGGUUUGAAAGUGUAUCUGUCGUGCAUUCCAAUUGCAAAAACGAUGCUGUUCCUGUGGCAGCUCCAGCAGACACAGGAGUCCUGGCAGAUCGGCAACUCCUCGGCUCUCUGAAGCUCACAUGGGAUCUGUGUGCUUCUCCCACGUGCAGAGAAAGAGGGUGCAGUAAGCUAACAGGCCCUGCCACCACUCAUGGCUGGGAUCCCCCAGAAAAACCAAGGGACAGUGAUAGAAAAGGAGGUGUCGCUAGCAGUAAUACACUAUGCGAUGUCAUGAUGUCACACCAGGCCACAAAAUGCCUCUAAGACCCAAGUGAAGGACUCGGCAAUGAAGAGGGUUGUUCUGGUGUGAGCAUGGGAUUUGGACCUGAGAAUGGAUCAUGUAGCUUAAUGGCCUCGGAGGUCAGUUGGCUUGGAGACUUGGGUGUCUUUCCCUGAGCGUGUGAGAGGUGAAAGCCCUGCCAAUAGCACAUUGGGCUGGGGA